rnacentral:rRNA from 1 species
UGGGGAAUAUUGGACAAUGGGGGGAACCCUGAUCCAGCCAUGCCGUGUGUGUGAAGAAGGCCUUAUGGUUGUAAAGCACUUUAAGCGAGGAGGAGGGUACUGGUAUUAAUACUACCAGCUACUGGACGUUACUCGCAGAAUAAGCACCGGCUAACUCUGUGCCAGCAGCCGCGGUAAUACAGAGGGUGCGAGCGUUAAUCGGAUUUACUGGGCGUAAAGCGUGCGUAGGCGGCUAAUUGAGUCGGAUGUGAAAUCCCCGAGCUUAACUUGGGAAUUGCAUUCGAUACUGGUUAGCUAGAGUGUGGGAGAGGAUGGUAGAAUUCCAGGUGUAGCGGUGAAAUGCGUAGAGAUCUGGAGGAAUACCGAUGGCGAAGGCAGCCAUCUGGCCUAACACUGACGCUGAGGUACGAAAGCAUGGGGAGCAAACAGG